rnacentral:rRNA from 1 species
UACGUAGGGGGCUAGCGUUGUCCGGAAUCAUUGGGCGUAAAGCGCGUGUAGGCGGUCCGGUAAGUCCGCUGUGAAAGUCGAGGGCUCAACCCUCGAAUGCCGGUGGAUACUGUCGGGCUUGAGUACGGGAGAGGCGAGUGGAAUUCCUGGUGUAGCGGUGAAAUGCGCAGAUAUCAGGAGGAACACCGAUGCGAAGGCAGCUCGCUGGAACGUUACUGACGCUGAGACGCGAAAGCGUGGGGGAGCAAACAGG